rnacentral:rRNA from 1 species
AUUGAACGCUGGCGGCAGGCCUAACACAUGCAAGUCGAGCGGAUGAAGGGAGCUUUCUCCUGGAUUCAGUGGCGGACGGGUGAGUAAUGCCUAGGAAUCUGCCUGGUAGUGGGGGAUAACGUCCGGACACGGGCGCUAAUACCGCAUACGUCCUGAGGGUGAACGUGGGGGAUCUUCGGACAUCACGCUUUCAGAUGAGCCUAGGUCGGAUUAGCUAGUUGGUGAGGUAAAUGCCUACCAAGGCGACGAUCCAUAACUGGUCUGAGAGGAUGAUCAGUCACACUGGAACUGAGACACGGUCCAGACUCCUACGGGAGGCAGCAGUAGGGAAUAUUGGACAAUGGGCGAAAGCCUGAUCCAGCCAUGCCGCGUGUGUGAAGAAGGUCUUCGGAUUGUAAAACACUGUAAGUAGGGAAGAAGAGCAGUAAGUGAAUACCUUGCUGUUUUGACGGUACCAACAGAAUAAGCACCGGCUAACUUCGUG